AAGAACAGUAAGACAACCAGUGUAUCACAGAUUUGGUUUAAGACCAGCAUGUUAUAAUAAAAUGUAUCACUACAGAAAACAAUACAAUAUAAAAAGGGCUACAGAUCUCCAGCAACUGAAG